rnacentral:rRNA from 1 species
ACGCACGCUGGCGGCGUGCUUAACACAUGCAAGUCGCACGGAAAGGCCCUGCUUUUGUGGGGUGCUCGAGUGGCGAACGGGUGAGUAACACGUGAGUAACCUGCCCUUGACUUUGGGAUAACUUCAGGAAACUGGGGCUAAUACCGGAUAGGAGCUCCUGCUGCAUGGUGGGGGUUGGAAAGUUUCGGCGGUUGGGGAUGGACUCGCGGCUUAUCAGCUUGUUGGUGGGGUAGUGGCUUACCAAGGCUUUGACGGGUAGCCGGCCUGAGAGGGUGACCGGCCACAUUGGGACUGAGUUACGGCCCAGACUCCUACGGGAGGCAGCAGUGGGGAAUAUUGCACAAUGGGCGGAAGCCUGAUGCAGCAACGCCGCGUGCGGGAUGACGGCCUUCGGGUUGUAAACCGCUUUCGCCUGUGACGAAGCGUGAGUGACGGUAAUGGGUAAAGAAGCACCGGCUAACUACGUG